GAUGAACGCUGGCGGCGUGCCUAAUACAUGCAAGUCGAGCGAACGGACGAGAAGCUUGCUUCUCUGAUGUUAGCGGCGGACGGGUGAGUGACACGUGGAUAACCUACCUAUAAGACUGGGAUAACUUCGGGAAACCGGAGCUAAUACCGGAUAAUAUUUUGAACCGCAUGGUUCAAAAGUGAAAGACGGUCUUGCUGUCACUUAUAGAUGGAUCCGCGCUGCAUUAGCUAGUUGGUAAGGUAACGGCUUACCAAGGCAACGAUGCAUAGCCGACCUGAGAGGGUGAUCGGCCACACUGGAACUGAGACACGGUCCAGACUCCUACGGGAGGCAGCAGUAGGGAAUCUUCCGCAAUGGGCGAAAGCCUGACGUAGCAACGCCGCGUGAGUGAUGAAGGUCUUCGGAUCGUAAAACUCUGUUAUUAGGGAAGAACAUAUGUGUAAGUAACUGUGCACAUCUUGACGGUACCUAAUCAGAAAGCCACGGCUAACUACGUG
rnacentral:rRNA from 1 species